rnacentral:rRNA from 1 species
GAUGAACGCUGGCGGCGUGCCUAAUACAUGCAAGUCGAGCGAACGGACGAGAAGCUUGCUUCUCUGAUGUUAGCGGCGGACGGGUGAGUAACACGUGGAUAACCUACCUAUAAGACUGGGAUAACUUCGGGAAACCGGAGCUAAUACCGGAUGAUAUUUUGAACCGCAUGGUUCAAAAGUGAAAGACGGUCUUGCUGUCACUUAUAGAUGUAUCCCGGUUGCAUUAGCUAGUUGGUAAGGUAACGGCUUACCAAGGCAACGAUGCAUAGCCGACCUGAGAGGGGGAUCGGCCACACUGGAACUGAGACACGGUCCAGACUCCUACGGGAGGCAGCAGUAGGGAAUCUUCCGCAGUGGGCGAAGGCCUGACGGAGCAACGCCGCGUGAGUGAUGAAGGUCUUCGGAUCGUAAAACUCUGUUAUUAGGGAAGAACAUAUGUGUAAGUAACUGUGCACAUCUUGACGGUACCUAAUCAGAAAGCCACGGCUAACUACGUG